ensembl:lncRNA
GACUGGUAUGGCGUAUCACACCAUGACGUUGUUGAUUCCUUUUCUAGAACAGCGCUCCGUGUCAUGUUUGAUUCCUUACAUCGCCUAAUAACUUAGUUUUUAUAUAUUUAUUUCAUUCGAAGCAAUAAUUUGUGUAAGCGCGAUAAAUUUAACGUGCAGUGGUUUGGAAACAGUAGGUCACGUGACUGCCCACAGCCGUUGGCCCAAGCCCCGCGUGAUAACAGACAUCGCGAGAUCUCCGGAAAGAGCCGAGCGCAGCGGAGGAGAAGAGCCGGAAAAAGCCGAUGAUGCUCUUGAAUGCCGCUGCCCCUUUUCAACAUGGCUGCUGUAUGUGCUGUGCUCAGUUGCGCUCCGACUGGAGUCUGACUCGACUCUCGACAACUUAGUGCCUCACAAUACUGUCUCUGAACAGCUAAAAGCUAGGGGGAAAUUAUUCCGUCGGAGCGGUUUUUAAAUCUCCCUUAUUCUUGUGGGGUUUUUAAAAUAUAUAUAUAUAUUAAAAAAAACAACAACAGAACGAGAAAUCUAAUCAAGCAUUGCGUCUGGGGCCUUUUUCCCUUUUUGCUUUUUUACAUGAAAAAAACAACAACAACAGUACAGCUGCUACAACAUUUAGGAUCCAUCAACAAUUUCCAAUGGUUUGACUUUGGCACUUUAAGCUUUUUUUAUUUCUUUUUUUUUCUUCUUUUUUUUCUCAUUUUCUUUCCUUCUUCAUGAACAAUGUGUGAAAACUGCGCCGAGCUGGUUGAGGUGCUGAAUGAAAGUAAGUAUUAUUGUUAUUAUGAUUAUUAUUAUUAUUAUUAGCAUCACCAUUAUUAUUAUUAUUAUUAUUAUUAUUAUUAUUAUUGUGUGUGUGCGCGCGCAUUAAAAUUAAAGUUAGUCCAGAUCUUUGGCUUGCAGUAACUUCACUAUCUAUGUCUGAGUAGGGUGGGUAGACUUCUUUUUUUGCAAUCAUGCAAUGUAUAUAUCAUAUAUUAUUGCAAUUAGACACAUAUACACAUAUAUGUGAUGUUCAGUUUUGUCUAUUGUAGGCCCAAAGGAGAUGCAAAGCAUUUGAUCUGAAUGUCAUGUUGCAUGCAUGUCAGUGAUCCGGUUUGAUCCAAAUCUGGCCUCUCCUGUCCAUACAUCAGUCAGGAAAAACGUGCUCAUGAUCAUGUUUUACUUUAGUAAUUAUUGCACAAAUCAGCAGUUUCAUGCUGCACAAGACGAAUCCUGACCCUGCCAGUGCAACGCAGUGUCUUUAACACCCAGCCUCUCAUUUCCUUUAGUUCAUUUAAUCCACAUCACUGCAUGUUAGCGUUACCUUCCAUUAAACUCGUGUUUAUUAUUAUUAUUAUUAUUAUUAUUAUUAUUUUUAUUAUUAUUUUCUAACUCGCAUUCAUCCUAAUGCGGCCACAUGCACCUUUAUCCUUAAGCACACAAAAUAUCAAUUCGCUUUUAUUUACCCUAGCCAGCAUUAGCCAUAGCAGCAACAUCACCGUUGCUGUUUUUCUUUUUUUGUUGUUGUUGUUGUUUUUUUGUGUGUUUUUUUUUAUACGUUGUCAUUACCACACGGUUGUUUUUACAGCACACUAAACACUAUAAAACACUUACAACCGUUUACAACAACUAAAUCACUCAUCAUGUGUUAAAUAUCUAAGAAAAAAAUUGUAGUUUGGUGGUUUUGACAACAAAAAUGACAGCUAGCCUGUGUGUGUGUGUGUGUUUUCGCUAGCUUGACUAGCAAUUAGCUAGUCUUCUUUGCUAGCAGUGAACCGCUAAUGGGAUGGAAAUAAUCACCUCCCGCUGGUUGUAGGGAGGUGAAAUGUCUGAAAACACGUCCCGUGUCGUUUAAAAAGAAAUAAAUCAUAAAAUUAGACUGGUGUUUUGUUGUCAUGUUUAGCCACAUGGUGCAAGUGCUAGCUAGCGAACGAACUCGUUAGCAGUGGAAGCUAACGGAGCUUGUUGCUAGCAGCAACUGUUUUGGACUUGCGUUUGUUCCAGAGUUUAAUGUCUUUACCUGACACUGUGUUGAAUUAUCAUAACGUUAAUGAUUUAACCUGCUGUUUGUUUAUUUUUAACCAAACACGUCGUUGUGUUGGUGCUGUCUGUUUGUUUGCUAGCUGUGCUGGUAUUUGUUAGCCUGCUAGCUAACAUAGUUGUGCUUCAUAGGCACAAGUACAAAGGAGCUGAUGGGCCUCUAUAAUGAGAAACUUUAACAAUAGCUGAUUGUGUUUGUUUGCAUUUGAGUUUAGUUCUGAGGUAAAAUUGUGGUCCAUGUCAAAAUACCAUUGCAUUGACAAAAAGGCUUAUUAUUUUUUAUUUUUAAACCCCUCCCACACUUUUUUCUUUUCUUUUCUUUUUUUUUUUCUUUCUUUAAACACUAGAACAGGAGAACAGAGUGUAGUAAAGGUUGAACUGGUGAUAAAGUAGUGAUAAAUCUAUCCUCUGAGAUAAUAUCGAGCUUCAAAAAUCAUUUAACCAUCGAUACAUUUGAUAUAAACAUGACUAUUUAGUUUCCUGCUCGAGCUCCGAGUCAUGCCCAGUGCGAGACUCUCCCGGGUCUGAGUUCGGGAUUCACACGAGUACCCGAAUCGUCGUUGGACUACUCACAAGAACGUCAUCGGAAGUCCUAACUUUAUUAUCUUUUUAUGUGUACGCGUACAGCGCUCGCUCGCUUAGCUUAGGUUUCCAUUCUUGUGCCGAGCAUCUGAAACGAGGCUUUGAGCGUGCCGAUACUUUUAAUCCGUGGUGGGAAUUGACUAGCAAAAUUUAAUCCGAACGACUGAAUGCGUGGAUUUUCCGACCGCCGACUACGGGGGAAAAAAACAACCCCCAGAGAAAGCGCUCCAUCUACUCCGUAACCCGGGACGGUCUCUUCAACCCCAAGUGACCUCAAAUCAACACGGCGGAAACGAGGCCCGAGGGCGCCAAUACUUUAUCAUCUCGGUUUUUAGCGCGAAUAACGGAUGUCAGUUAGGGCGUACGACGUCGAACUCGGCACUCUGAAGGAAUACGACUUCAGAUUUGUAUAAUAUUUCCGUAUUUGCCGUAAUAAAUCCACGAUCAAAUGUUUUAAAAUCAAAUGUGUUACUUUGUUUUUUUUUUUUGUUUGUUGUUUUUUUUUUUUUAAAAUACUCAUCCCAGUGAUGAAACGAAGGACUCAAACCUGUAACUCGGACUAGGAGAAACCAAACAAAGCUCCCUUUCCGUACCGGACUCCGGCACCGUAACUCAGACGGUCUCCUCAACCCCGAGUUCAGCGAGGGACGUCAAAUCAAAAUGGCCGCUCACGGCAUCGGCGCUAAACACUUCUCGGAUGUUAAACGAGUUAUUUACUGUAUUAGCGUUAGCUCAGUCGACACGUUACAUCUAUAACACUGACUCUACGCGUCACCGUUCUGCGGAGGAAGAUACACAUCACCCAUCACGGCUAGCUUGUUGCUAUGAAAAGGCGAAUGGAAUGGACGUGUUUUGUUUACGGCUCGGACGCGUGAAGGUCAGGAAAUUACACCGCUCCGAAUUCACACUUCCUAGUUUUGGUUUAGUUCACGCUAACGUGAGUACAUUUAAAGAUGAAAUCAUCUUUUUUUUAAUUCCCUGCCUCAGGACUGUCACGUGAGCCCCGCGAUUCCAAAAUGGUGGGAGCUCGUCGGUCUCGUUGCGAUCCUGCUUCCUGUGUAGUUUAAUUUCGUGUUUGGGUGAAUUUUUUUUUUGUAUGGUUGACGGAGCGACUGUGGGGAAUGAGAAGUUAACGUUUAUGUUGUGAAAUCAAACAAAGAUGGGGAGAGGUCAAGGUCAUGGAUCAGACGCUCUGUUGUUCUGUUUUAUUGCGAACAGGAAACUAUUUUUCGGGGGGGGGGGGGGGGGGGGUCUGGAAACAGCGAAGACUUUUCUGAACUUUGCUGAAUAUUUGAAAACAUUUUAAUGAUCGGAAUCCCGUACAUCGUUACGUGCCUGCGGUGACGGCGUGCUACACGUUCGAUUUGUGCUGGAAUUCUGCUCUUAGGUUUUAACCGAAAUCGCACGGGACUUCACUCUGCCUCAUCGCUAAUGUUUUACGAAUUUCUACAACCAUACGGAAAUUACCUGCUAACACAGCUAAGCGCAACAUUCGCAUGAAGCCCGGCACCAUCUGUGUGUGAGCGAGCGAGCGAGAGAGACACACACACACACACACACACACACGUACAUGUCUUUGUGUUGAGUGACAGGCCCAUGUGUCCACAUGUAGUUUGAUCUUUGACCUCCAAAUCUGAUAUAUGGGCAGCUAUCUCCUCCUCGUGUCGCCGUGUGUGUGUGUGUGUGUGUGUGUGUGUGUGUGUGUGUGUGUGUGUGUGUGUGUGUGUGAGACAUGGAUACAACUAAUAGGAGACGAGACAGAUGUGCCGGUUGUAUGUAUCUUACGCUGGGAGGGGCAGAUCAGGCUUUUCACCACGUGGAGGAAGCUUGACAGCGAGGCAUGUGUUGACUCGCACACCGCGCUCUCUCUCUCUCUCUCUCUCGCUCUUUCGCUCUCUCUCUCUCUCUCACACACACACUUUACAAUCAGUGAAACGAGUUCAUUGGAUUUAUUUCCCCAGCGCCCUGCACAAUACGCUGUAUUUGUAUUGAAACGGUAUCAGAGAUGGAUUUCAGCGUCGUCUCUUACUGUGUGAAAGGUCCGGAUUCUCGUCCGCUUUUAAUCAUCUGUGUGUCUGACCUGGUUACCAUAACGACAGCACCCGUAUAUGCCGGUAACACCCGCCCCCCCCCCUGCAAAAUAUAAACCCGCUUACGUCACGAUGGAGUUAAACGUUUCCCGCUUCGUCCGCGGCAUCUGUUCGAACGUCGCCGUCUCCCGGACGGCGUUACGCAGCUCCAGGCGUAAAAGAUGACGGCGUUAGGAUCGGAACUGCAAGUCUGACGUUUUAGACGCGCACGGACGGUUCGAAACGGAACGAGACGUUAAUAAUCGUGUACAGCGCGUAAAGAGGAAGCCGAGAGGCGCGUAUUUACUUUGAUCUUGACCGGAUAGCGCUGACCGAUGACCGCGGGACAGGAGGAGACUCUUUAACUUCUGCGUCAGACAGAGACGGCUUCCGUUCUUCGUUCUUCAUUCUUUAUUAACGUCGCUACGAGAGAAAUGUGUCGCGUGCCGCUCGUAGCGAGGGCCGAACCACUUUUAUUAAAACAAAGAAGACGUGUAGGCCGGGAAUAAACCGUGCAACAGCUCACACUCGGUCAGUACGUUCACAUGGACAACAAUAAUCCGAUAUUAACCCGAUUAAGACCAGCAUGUAAACAGAGAUUACCGACGACCUUAAUCCGAUUAAAGUCAUACCCGGAAUGAAGACGUGUGGAGUACUCCUGUUCCAGACGUUCCAGACACGUACACACCUCAAUCGCACUAUUAACGUCGUGUGGGAGUUUCCACCGCAUCGUGCGACAGGACACGUACGCAACACGGCAGCGCUCGGCCGUUCGACGGCGGACAAGAGAGCACGGCCGCGUCCCAAACCGCGUACUUGCCUCCAGUAUAGCAGGUGAAAUGCAUGUAUUUCGGUAAGUACGCGGUUCGGGACGCAGCCCACGGCUUCAAGCGGUCGUCUGUUCGCACGUACGGCACGACUAAUAAUCAACCGCACCCGAAGCUUUCGUAAAAAUAAAAACACCCGAAACCGUAUACGGUCCCAUAACGAAGACCGACCGUAUGAAGAUGCGUGAAAUUCUGGCGGGGACGGCGUGGCGCGGGGAUAUAACGACACGUGAAACGUGAAUAUGAAGCGAGUGUUCUAAAAGCGACUCAUGUAAACACCUUAAUCAGAAUAUCGUCUUAUUCAGAAUAAGGUCGACGAUUAUGUUACUGCUGUCCGUGUAAACGUAGUGAAUGACACUGCGAAAUCUUUGGGGGGGGCGGGGCGGGGGGAGUCCCGUCGCUGCAGUUUAGUGGAAGAAUUGAGUUGUUUUUGUGUGCGUGAUUAAUAGGGCUGAGUCGUGCCAGAGACACGAACUAACAAAACCGGAAAAGGUUUUAAUUUGUUGUGAAGGAUGUACCUCCUUUUAAUCGCCGUGUUUCUCCAAAGCGUUCAUCUUUUCAAUCAACAAGCCUACGUGUGCAGACUCCGUCUCGGAGUCGAAUGCAUCUAAUGUAGUUAAAACGCUGUUUCUAUGGUAACGUCUUUACAAACCCGACGCUCGACCGGAAACUAAAGCGCGGCGUUAAUUACCGUACUGUAUCGAUAAGAAUGUUUUUUAAAAUGCUGUAAAUGUUCAAAACGGCCUUUCAGGAGAGGAUGAGAGUGGAGUCAUGGAGGAGGAUUUGUCGGUGCGUUUUACACGUUGCGGAGGAACGUUCCGGACGGGGACUUUUCAGACGGACCGAGUAGAGGUCUCGCAGCCGAGUCGUUACCCGUGCUGUUUUUUUAAAAUUAUUAUUAUUAUUAUUCUAAUAGAAGACGAUACGGACGGAAACGAAGGAUAAAAAGAGAGAGCCCCCGAGCCCGGCUCCGGCCUCCGCCUCUCAACGAGGGCAAAAAAAAUUGAAACUUUUUUUUUUUUUUGUAUUUUUUUUUGCAUGCGUAAAAAAGAAAUGAUUACAACGAUAAUGUCGAAACAAGCGCAGCGUGAGGCGGCGGUUUCAGCGCCGUGACCUGUCGUCCGUCCGCGUGAGGAGAAAGGAGAAAGGGGAGGAUUUGAAAGCCGGCCGAGGUCGAGGCCGUCCAGCUGCUCGCGUGAACCUGAGAACCUUACCAAAGUCCAGCGACUCCCCUGUUGUCAUGGUAACCGUGAGCCGGGCCUUCACUGCCGCUCUUGUUGAAGUGUUUGGGAUAAAUCUCUCUCUCGCUCUCUCCCGCGUAUCUGACCGCUCAUUACACAGAAAGCAGGUGAAGAUGUUUUAGAGAUCUGCGAUGACUGCUUUCUUUUUAUAGUUUUUUUUUUUUUAUUUAUUAAAAAAUAUAUAUAUGUAUUUAUUUUUAUCCCUCCUGUUAUUAUGUUACGGGUCACCGUGACCCAUUUCCACAUUUGAGGCGUCUGAAAUGCGGUUAAUCUCUCACUUUCUCUUUGAACUAUUUCGACGUUCCUCAUUUAGGGUCAUGAACUGGUAUGAAAUAUUUCUCCUGAGGAAAGCGGUUAUAAAGGUUUACUGUUUUAAGCCGUUCUUUGCUGUUUAUUAUGUCAGUUUGACCCCUAACAUAAUGGAUGUAACUAUCCCCCCCCCCCCCCCCCCCCCCCCCCCCUUCCAACGUAAUAUGAGGGUUAAAUGGCACUGAUUUACCGGUUACCGUAGCAACUGUAAGAAAACUUGCUGACUCUAUUGUACAGUACGGGCCCGAAGGGAGACGGCCGUCCUGACGCUGCCUUUUUUGGAUUGUGUUUUUUUCGAACGAAACACACCGGGAUGGUGACGAGAACUCUGGGAUAUCUGCUGUAGCCUGUUUACUCAGAAAUCCCACUGACGCCAACUGAAAUCAGACCUAAUCUCACCCACACACACACACUGUACUCUGCAUCGUCUGCUUCAGCUCUCUGUGUGUGUGUGUGUGUGUGUGUGUGUGUGUGUGUUUCAGGAAUGUGUACUCUCACCCACACACACUAUAUUCUGCAUCUUUCUCACCACUAAGCACUCUGCCUCUGGUGUGUGUGAGACAGAGAGGAUUUGUGGUUUAACACACACUGUGAUGUGUGUGUGUGUGUGUGUGUGUGUGUGUGUGUGUGUGUGUGUGUUCAGCACACAUCAGGAACGUGCACGGCUAUGCAAACUCUGGAAACUUGAUUUUUCUUGGGGUACAAUCAUAAAUGAACGUCAAGGUUGUUUAAAAAAAAAAAAAAGUCCCUGAAAUCCCAGGAGUGUGUGUGCUGAUGAUGUCAGUUUUAGUCAUAUCAAGUACACACACACACGCGCGCACACACACACACAGACGAGGACGUUAAAAAAAAAAAUAGAAAAACUUACUGUGGCAUAAUGUGCCAAAACAUCGACCAAGCAACACCAGGUCUCUCACACACUUAUCUUAUCAGAAGGACAAAACAGUAAUGCAGAGCAGAGAACAACGCUGUAGUGGUAUUUCUGGCUCACUGCUGUAGCGCGUCACGCCUCAUUAACUGGGUUAUUCUGAAAGGAUUUAUAUGGGAAAAGUCUUCAAAGUAUCCGAUGUGAAACAUUGUGUUUAGGAAGGCGGGGAGACUGAAUAACAGCAGGUUAAAGGCAUUGGGAGGAAAGGUAUGAAGGCAGCAGGACAGAAGGGCAGCAAGGAAGAAAAGUAGAAAGGCAGCAAGGAAGAAAGGCAGCAGGGCAGAAUGGCAGGAGGAGGAAAGGUGGAAAGGCAGCAGAACAGAAUGGCAGUAGGAAGAAAGGUAGAAAGGCAGCAGGGCAGAAUGGCAGUAGGAAGAAAGGCAGCAGGGCAGAAUGGCAGUAGGAAGAAAGGCAGCAGGGCAGAAUGGCAGUAGGAGGAAAGGCAGCAGGGCAGAAUGGCAGUUGGAAGAAAGGCAGCAGGGCAGAAUGGCAGUAGGAAGAAAGGUAGAAAGGCUUCAGGGCAGAAUGGCAGUAGGAAGAAAGGUAGAAAGGCUUCAGGGCAGAAUGGCAGUAGGAGGAAAGGUAGAAAGGCUUCAGGGCAGAAUGGCAGUAGGAGGAAAGGUAGAAAGGCAGCAGGGCAGAAUGGCAGUAGGAGGAAAGGUAGAAAGGCAGCAGGG